UACGUAGGGUGCAAGCGUUAAUCGGAAUUACUGGGCGUAAAGCGUGCGCAGGCGGCUAUGCAAGACAGAUGUGAAAUCCCCGGGCUCAACCUGGGAACUGCAUUUGUGACUGCAUGGCUAGAGUACGGUAGAGGGGGAUGGAAUUCCGCGUGUAGCAGUGAAAUGCGUAGAUAUGCGGAGGAACACCGAUGGCGAAGGCAAUCCCCUGGACUUGUACUGACGCUCAUGCACGAAAGCGUGGGGAGCAAACAGG
rnacentral:rRNA from 1 species